rnacentral:lncRNA from 1 species
CCGCACUAAAAAAGACUAUUAUUCGUUCGCUCCAGAUUUUUCAUUUUUAUCCUGCUUACAAUUUAUCCUUCGUCUCGUUUUGCGAUGGCCUCCGCCGAGAUCGCGGAGAUUGAGUUCCGAUAGUUCGGCGGUGAGCUCCUCUGGACCACCGACAAUGAGGCACUGGAGAGGGCCUUUUCCUCCUCCUGUGAAAGAUAUCGAAUCGAAGAUCAUCGAGGACGGUCAGAUCGGUAGGUCGAGGUGCUUCGGAUUCGUUACCAGCAACAUGCGAAUGCGAUCCAAGGAGGCCAGAACCUUGAUUUGAGGGUUAGUGUUCUUCUCCAAUGUUAGAGCGGGUGUUCUUUUGCGAUCUUUGUGUUAGCUAAUUUUAUAUUGCGAUGUUAGGGUUAGCUAGCGCUCUUUUUCCAUUGCGAUAUUAGCGUUGUUUUGCGAUUGCUAGGGUUAGAUAACUUUCUUUUGUGGUUGCAAUGGUAGGGUUAAUUAGCGUUCUUUGCGAUUGCAGUGUUAGGGUUAGCUAGUGUUCUUUUGCGAUUGCGAUGUUAGGGCGAGCUAGUGUUCUUCCGUGAUGUUAGUGUUUUUCUGUAUAAAUGAUAGAGGGGCUUUGCAUGUAUCAGGUGUGGCUUUUUGCAAUGUUGUUUAUAAACCGUGGCCCAUAGACUUAAGUGAAAAUAAUGUCGUUUGUUGCAGACAUCUGGUCUUUUUGGUUGUGGUGCCCUUGCUCAUGUUGGUGUGAUGGACUUGCAGUGGUUCCCACGAAUGUACCAUAGGUUAGUUUACAUAUUUUUGCAACAUGGUUUGAUGUAUAAACAUUUGGCUUAUCCUUCCUUCUCCUCCCAUCUAUUUCUGGUAAUCACUUUUUCAUUAUGUCAGGUGACCAUGGGAACAACAUGGGAGGCAACCUCACCACUAGCUUUCCAGAUCACGAUGACCUAUUUGCACCAUUACACCUUUUGUAGUUAUUAAAGGUUGGUCUCUAUCAACAUAGUCAAUAUAUUUAUUGAAUGGGAAUAUAAAUGCUAGUUUUGAUGCUCAACAUGUGCCAAGACUACCAUAUUCAGUUCUGGUGUCAAUGGUUGAACAUUCAUAAUAUUUAGUACAGUAAUUCUAUGUAUGAUAUUAUAUCUCAUAGUAACUGCUGUUAUGGAUCUCUUAUCAUUUUCAUUACCCAUUGACAAUUACCUUUUUUGGUUACGUAACAAAAUUGAAAAGUACUGUUUAUCUUUAAUUUGAUUGUAUUGCUGAAGAUUAAGAGGUUUUCAUUAUUAUGUUGAUAAAAAGGUUAUAAAUAUAAAAUAUUUUUCAUUGCCACAUGUUGUAUUCUGAUUCACCAAUUGUAGCAUUUUUGGUGGUCAUUCCCACCCCAAAUAUUCUUCCAAAAAGUUUUCUACGUCUUGUAUUUUAACUAAAUAAAAAAUCUCUUCCUAUUGGCUUAUUUUAUUGGUGUGACAAGUUUGACGUCCUGUCAUAUUUCGUAGUUGGUAUACAUAAAUAUUAAUAUGAUAAGACAUCCUAUCAGCUUCGUUAAAUACUUCAUUCUUUGAAGAUAUCAAAAACUUCAAUUUUUUGUUUAUAUGAUAAAACACUCCAAUUUAUUCCUUUAAGAUUUCGUAUUAACCCUGCAACCUUUAGAAUGUUCAACUGCCUAAAGUUUGUUAAGGCCCAUCUUAUAUUUGUGAAAUUUCUGCUUAUCACCACUAUGGUUUUGACUUUUUCUGCUUUACAAGUGGAGUCAGAACACGAGCACUACUGUGAUUUUAAUGGAAGAGUAGCUUCCAAAGUUCACAUUUAUGGAGCUAAACUAUUAAAUUUUCAGUAUGAAAAGAUUUUACCCUUAAUGUUAUUUAUUCAUAUAUGUUUUACGUAUGAAAGAUCUGCCAUAAUGUUAUGAAAUUUUGAUAUGACCCCUUUAUUAAGCAAACCAUUUAAAUGGUUAUAAAAUUAUUCAUUAGAUAUAUUUUGGGGUUAGGGUUCCGUCUUGUAGUACAAAAUGGGCAAUGGUGUAUGUCCUUUGUGAUCUGUGGGGAUCCUUUUCUCUUCAUCUUCUUCUUCUAGGUUCUGUUCGUGGCGAUAUUAGCAGUCUUUAUAAUGUGGCAAACAUAUGCUUCAGGAAUCAGAACAGAUUUUGAAUUGCAAACGAAUGAGAAUUUAUGGGUUAUAGGCAUUCACAGUGAUAUGUUGUUUCAUUUCUUCACAUAAUUUUAACUAGUCAUUGAUGGAACUGAUAUCAAGGCUUUCUUUUGCAGAAUUCGCACUGCCAGACAAAUAAUUUAACUAGUGGUUUCUCACUGAAUCAGG